ACCUCCGAUCCAGCCUUAUAGUCAUCCCUCUCCUUUCUCAGGGAAUCAAUCUCCUUCCUGACGGAGGAAAACUCCUUAACCUCCUCCGACAGACGAGCCUUCUCAGCCUCCAAGGUCUCGUUCUCCUUCUUCAGAGCACCAAUCGCCUCAUCACGGCAGAUAACCUCCCGGGAGCAACGCUCCUCCAAGGCGGCAGCCAUGUGAUGACCCUGCUCAAAAAUAAAUAGUUACAACAAACCUCCGAGUGAAAAACCGCGAAGGAAGAUAUAACAAAUCACAAACAUACAAGGCUAUGGUGCUCAUAUUGCACGCGAAGGAGCGUGUCAAAGUCCAUGCCGCGGAGCUUCUGACGAAAACGAUCUGUAAAGCAAAAACAAGUAAGAAAAAACAUCGUAAGAAACAAAAAAAACCUUUGGCGGAGGCCAGAACACGAACCUCCGACCAAGGAAUGAACCUCGCGCAAGGCAUCGGUCCAACCUGUGAUCGAAGGAUCAGAAGCACCUGCGCAUAACAAAAACAAACCUUAGAAUAAAAUGCCAAAAACAAACCAAACUGUUGAACCAAAAAGAAGAAACUCACCGGGACCA
rnacentral:lncRNA from 1 species